GUUCGCGUAAAGCCGAAAAUGCCCCCAUUUUGGUCUUUCACACGGGUGGGGUCGCAGGUUCAAUCCCUGCCGCGCCCACCA
rnacentral:tRNA from 1 species